AGAGUUUGAUCCUGGCUCAGGAUGAACGCUGGCGGUAUGCUUAACACAUGCAAGUCGAACGAAAGUUUUUAACUUUAGUGGCGAACGGGUGCGUAAUACGUGAGAAUCUGCCCUUAGGAAGAGGAUAACUGCUGGAAACGGCUGCUAAUACUCUAUAUGUCGAGAGAUGAAAUAACUUUGUUGCCUAGGGAUGAGCUCGCGCCUGAUUAGCUAGUUGGUGAGGUAAUGGCUCACCAAGGCCACGAUCAGUAGCUGGUUUGAGAGAACGAUCAGCCACACUGGGACUGAGACACAGCCCAGACUCCUCCGGGAGGCAGCAGUGAGGAAUUUUCCGCAAUGGGCGAAAGCCUGACGGAGCAAUACCGCGUGAGGGAUGAAGGAUUUUGGUCUGUAAACCUCUUUUCUCAAGAAAGAAGUUCUGACGGUACUUGAGGAAUAAGCAUCGGCUAACUCCGUGCCAGCCGCCGCGGU
rnacentral:rRNA from 1 species